rnacentral:rRNA from 3 species
AAAUUGAAGAGUUUGAUCAUGGCUCAGAUUGAACGCUGGCGGCAGGCCUAACACAUGCAAGUCGAACGGUAACAGGAAGCAGCUUGCUGCUUCGCUGACGAGUGGCGGACGGGUGAGUAAUGUCUGGGAAACUGCCUGAUGGAGGGGGAUAACUACUGGAAACGGUGGCUAAUACCGCAUAACGUCGCAAGACCAAAGAGGGGGACCUUCGGGCCUCUUGCCAUCAGAUGUGCCCAGAUGGGAUUAGCUUGUUGGUGAGGUAACGGCUCACCAAGGCGACGAUCCCUAGCUGGUCUGAGAGGAUGACCAGCCACACUGGAACUGAGACACGGUCCAGACUCCUACGGGAGGCAGCAGUGGGGAAUAUUGCACAAUGGGCGCAAGCCUGAUGCAGCCAUGCCGCGUGUAUGAAGAAGGCCUUCGGGUUGUAAAGUACUUUCAGCGGGGAGGAAGGUGUUGCGGUUAAUAACCGCAGCAAUUGACGUUACCCGCAGAAGAAGCACCGGCUAACUCCGUGCCAGCAGCCGCGGUAAUACGGAGGGUGCAAGCGUUAAUCGGAAUUACUGGGCGUAAAGCGCAC